UACAGAGGUCUCAAGCGUUGUUCGGAUUCACUGGGCGUAAAGGGCGCGUAGGCGGAUCUUUAAGUCGGGGGUGAAAGCCUGAGGCUCAACCUCAGAAUUGCCUUCGAUACUGGAGAUCUUGAGACCGGAAGAGGUAAGUGGAACUGCGAGUGUAGAGGUGAAAUUCGUAGAUAUUCGCAAGAACACCAGUGGCGAAGGCGGCUUACUGGUCCGGUUCUGACGCUGAGGCGCGAAAGCGUGGGGAGCAAACAGG
rnacentral:rRNA from 1 species